GACGAUCGCUGGCGGCGUGCUUAACACAUGCAAGUCGAACGAUGAAGCCGGAGCUUGCUCUGGUGAAUUAGUGGCGAACGGGUGAGUAACACGUGAGUAACCUGCCCUUGACUCUGGGAUAACUGCUAGAAAUGGUAGCUAAUACCGGAUACGACCCUCGGAGGCAUCUCCAGGGGGUGGAAAGAAUUUCGGUCAAGGAUGGAGUCGCGGCCUAUCAGCUAGUUGGUUAGGUAAUGGCUCACCAAGGCGACGACGGGUAGCCGGCCUGAGAGGGUGACCGGCCACACUGGGACUGAGACACGGCCCAGACUCCUACGGGAGGCAGCAGUGGGGAAUAUUGCACAAUGGGCGCAAGCCUGAUGCAGCAGCGCCGCGUGAGGGAUGACGGCCUUCGGGUUGUAAACCUCUUUUAGUAGGGAAGAAGCGAAAGUGACGGUACCUGCAGAAAAAGCACCGGCUAACUACGUGCCAGCAGCCGCGGUAA
rnacentral:rRNA from 1 species